GAGAUAUAUACUGUCUCAUAUAUAUAAAAUGAAUUUAAAUUUUUAGUAAAAAUGCUUAAAUAAUUUUAUGGGACGAUAAGACCCUAUAGAAUUUUAUAUUAAAAUUUUAUUAAUUAUUUAGUUAAAAUUUUAAUAUUUAGUUGGGAGGAUUAGUAAAUAAAAUUAACUUUAUUUUAAAAAUAAACUUUGAUUUAAGAAUAAAGUUUUGAUCUUAUAUUAUAAAUUAAAAGAAUAAAUUACCUUAGGGAUAACAGCGUAAUAUCUUUUUAAAGAUCAUAUUAAUAAAGAUGUUUGCGACCUCGAUGUUGAAUUAAGAUAAAUUUUAAAUGAAGAAAUUUAAAAAUUAAGUCUGUUCGACUUUUAAAAUCUUACAUGA
rnacentral:rRNA from 1 species